rnacentral:rRNA from 1 species
UACGUAGGGUGCAAGCGUUGUCCGGAAUUACUGGGCGUAAAGGGCUCGUAGGCGGCCAACUAAGUCAGACGUGAAAUCCCUCGGCUUAACCGGGGAACUGCGUCUGAUACUGGAUGGCUUGAGUUUGGGAGAGGGAUGCGGAAUUCCCGGUGUAGAGGUGAAAUUCGUAGAUAUCGGGAGGAACACCAGUGGCGAAGGCGGCGACCUGGACGGACACUGACGCUGAGACGCGAAAGCGUGGGGAGCAAACAGG